GAGUUUGAUCAUGGCUCAGAAUGAACGCUGGCGGCGUGCUUAACACAUGCAAGUCGAACGAGAAAGGGAUUGCUUGCAGUCCUGAGUAGAGUGGCGCACGGGUGAGCAACACGUAGAUAAUCUACCUUUGAACCUGGGAUAACUAAUCGAAAGGUUAGCUAAUACCGGAUGAAGUUAAUCGGCAUAAGUUGAUUGAUGAAAGACUGCCUAUCCUUGGAAGCAGUUGUUUGGAGAUGUGCUUGCGGACCAUUAGCUAGUUGGUGGGGUAAAGGCCUACCAAGGCGACGAUGGUUAGCUGGUCUGAGAGGAUGAUCAGCCACACUGGAACUGAAACACGGUCCAGACUCCUACGGGAGGCAGCAGUGAGGAAUUUUGCGCAAUGGGGGCAACCCUGACGCAGCAACGCCGCGUGAGUGAAGAAGGCCUUUGGGUCGCAAAGCUCUGUCAAUCGGGAAGAAGUUAUGGGAGUCGAAUAGGCUUUCAUAUUGACGGUACCGGUGAAGGAAGCAUCGGCUAACUCCGUGCCAGCAGCCGCGGUAAUACGGGGGAUGCAAGCGUUAUUCGGAAUUAUUGGGCGUAA
rnacentral:rRNA from 1 species